AACGAACGCUGGCGGCAGGCCUAACACAUGCAAGUCGAGCGAGGACUUCGGUCCUAGCGGCGGACGGGUGAGUAACGCGUGGGAACGUGCCCCUUGGUACGGAAUAGCCCCGGGAAACUGGGAGUAAUACCGUAUGAGCUCUACGGAGGAAAGAUUUAUCGCCAAGGGAUCGGCCCGCGUUGGAUUAGGUAGUUGGUGGGGUAAUGGCCUACCAAGCCGACGAUCCAUAGCUGGUUUGAGAGGAUGAUCAGCCACACUGGGACUGAGACACGGCCCAGACUCCUACGGGAGGCAGCAGUGGGGAAUCUUAGACAAUGGGCGCAAGCCUGAUCUAGCCAUGCCGCGUGAGCGAUGAAGGCCUUAGGGUUGUAAAGCUCUUUCAGCUGGGAAGACAAUGACUGUACCAGCAGAAGAAGCCCCGGCUAACUCCGUGCCAGCAGCCGCAGUAACAC
rnacentral:rRNA from 1 species